AGGACGUACCAUGUGAAAGAAAACACACUGAGGUAGUGGAUGAAUUAUUUUUCCCUGUCUAUUCCAUAUGGAGCGACGACGACGACGACAAGUUUCCAUUUAUUCUAAUAAAUAAAGUGUUGUGAAAUCAUUUACUUCGAUUACUGCCUACGACUUAAAAAAGGACUUCAUGCAAGCAAGAAAAGCGUCCAUUUUUCACGUCUUCUGCUGAUUACUCUCACCACGCAAACAAUUAGGAAGAUCACGAGGACAGCACUAUAAACUAUUCCCUUUUGCAGCGUCCAUGUCUUACUGAUUUCUCGGUUGGCUAAUUUCCAGGUUCAAAAAUAUUACUUUCCAUUACUUCCCCAUGUCGUUUUGACGCUAGUGGCUUGCCAUAAUUGCUUAAUGAUGCAUUACUUCAAUUAUUGGAUUUCAGCGUGACCUUCAUCUACUUGAUGUAAGAAGACAGUGGAAAUUUACAUAAUGCCUUAGUUUCAGCUCUUACGAGUUUUUGAUUGCCCUUCAUGAAGCUUGAUUUCUUAAUAUGUUCUAACAAGUUUUGCUGAAAUUCAUAAUAGCUGAAUCCAGUGUAGUUCCUUGCCUUAACGCACGGCUUCAAAGCCGAGGUACAGUGAUAACAAGACUAAACUUGUUUGUCAUUCUUAUAUAGGUGUGGCCUCCGCUGCUAUAUGAAUCUGGAAAAAUAGAUCUUUCUGUUGUUAUUCAAAUGAAAAUGGCAGUCUUACAAUACAGACUAUCCAUGACUACUUCUACUGCCAAGUACAAGAAGCACUUCAAACCAUCGACAGAAACUACUAAGACUGUUGUGUGGACAUCACUGGGGAUGAGCAUGUAGACCACAGAAAAGGUCGAUGUCUUCUGGGAAAACAUGUUUCUUAGAUUAGAUAUAUUCUACAAACCGGUACUUGUUACCAGAGAUAGGGUAUUCACGUGUAUCCACCAGAGAUCUGCUCAA